UGUAGAAGCCAAGAACAAAAAUUGGCAGAAAUUGUAUUCUGUGUGCAAGAAUAUGAAGAGUGUACUCAUGACUAAGCACAGAAACCUGGAAAACCACAGGCUUAAGUCAGGUGAUCCUUGAUGAGUAGUCAGCCCACCAAGAAGGCACUUCAGCACACAGGUCGUGUUGGAUUAAUGCUGUGGAUCGGUCAACCCAGAACCUGUAGUUGCCCGUCAGU